UGUUUGUGACAUUGAAAAAUGAGCCCAAGAUUAGUGAGUCAUUUUAAGACUGUUUUCCCCAGCUUUACCCGAGGAAAGGUGAAGGCAAUUAUGAAAAUUUCCAAAUAACUGUCAGUGAGGAAAAGUCACAGCCUACUCGAACAUUUGAACUUUCUCAGUCACAUGUUGGCAUGUGAUCGCUUCAUUCUGAAGAGUAACAUCUUUACAAUCGGCUCGUGCCGGGUUGGAGAGAGAAAAAAAAAAGCUUCUGGAUUGUGAAACCAUUGUGAUUCCAGCUUGACGUCUGCUGUCCAAAUGGUCCGAGGAGG